GGGGUGUCCUCUUUUCAUUCAUAUGGAAUCCGGUCAAAGUGCACCAUUGCACAUACACACACUUAUUUCGAAUGUUACAUACUCCACCGGAAAUCUUUGAAUUUUCGGAAUGAAUGAUGGAUUAAGAGACGGAAACAAAAGAAGCCGUG
ensembl:ncRNA C29A12.18 ncRNA